GACAGUUUGGCCGAGUGGUUAAGGCGCGGGACUGCUAUAUAGUACUGAUCUGAUCAGUCGAUUGUAAUCCCGUCCAUUCGUGGGCAUGAGUUCGAAUCUCAUAGCUGUCG